AUGAACAGCUCUCCUAGGCACUCUGCUGAAAGGCAUAAGGGAAUCUCUCCCAGGCUGCCAGGCCUGGGUAACACAGGUGUGAAGAAUUACUUUCUGGUGACUGCAAGACCUACAUUCUGGGAGAAAAAUUACACACACACACACACACACACACACACACACACACACACAAGCUUGUCAAGUAUCAGUAAUUAAAGAAAACCAUUUCUGCAGAGUUCAUGGUGGCCAUCUGGAGUUUCUCUGACCUUUCUCUUUAAGAGUCAGCGGAGGCACAGCCAUUAGGCAGUUAAAAACACAUUUUCACCAUACAUUGUUGACCACACAACUGCACUCUUAGGCUGUUAAAAAAAAGUCAUAAGGAAUGCAAAAUGUCUUCCAAACUUGCCUAGCAGGAACAGAAUUGUAGACAGAAAUGCCUGAUGGGUUUCAAGGUGACAUGCAAUUUUGCAAUCAUGUCUUCCACAGUACACUAUCUGCACGGAGCUAGUCACCUAAGCAAUAUAAUUAAAGGACUAAAGUGUCAUUUCAUUACUUCACCUUUUAAGAUCCAAUUUAUCAAGCGGGUUUUUUUUUUUAAACCAGUAGUUUGAAGCUCAAAUCUUUUACAACUCUCAGAACAGAUGGUACAGCCAUAUUAGCAAUGACACUAUAUAUACACACCAAGUGAACUGGUGCUAUUAUCUGGUUAAGUGACUGUCAGCAUUUCCAUUACAAACCCCAGCUUUCAAGGGUCUAUAAUUCAGAUACUUUAAAUAACAUCUGGCUGAAACUUGGUGUAUAGAAAUGAUGAGUGUUGAGUAAAAAUUAGUAUAAUUUUGUGAACGUGUAAAUACUUCUAGAAGACUCAGCUUGAUCAAUCGAGUCCUUUUUUUCAGAGCUGACUUCCACUUAUCAGUAUAUUAUGGGACUCCUAGCACACACCAUUCAUUUAUUCAAGUCAGUCAUUCAUUCAUCAAAUAUUUCACAUUUACCAUGUGCCAGGCCUUGUUCUAAGUGAAGAGAUAUUCUGGAGAACAGUUUCCUCUCUUUACAAGGCUUAUAUAUUCAUCAAGAACAUUUUAAAUAUCAGCAAAUAAAUAUAACAAUAAAUAAAUCUCAAGCCAGUAUGCACAUUUAAGGAUUAGAGUACAUUUCAUAAAGUAUUUUCAGUAUUUUUAAUAGUAUAUCUUGGUCCUCCUAAUCCUACUUUAAUUUUGCUGUUGAAAAAUUUAUCUCAAUCACAGUUAAUGAGAAUAAAUUCAAAGCACACCAUGAAAUAGUUUUAGCUGCCACAGAAAUUUCCUCAGCUGAUAUCCUAAAUUUUAAAUGGACAAAAACAUAUUUCAAAAACAUAGAAAAUGAGCUUUAAAAAUAAAUCACAUCAGUUUUACGGUAACUCAUGUUUAAUUGCUAAAGGAGGAAGAGGUACUCAAGUUUUGUAGGUCCUGAGGCUUCUACUACUUGGGGAGUCCUCUUGUAUGAAAACAUAGCUCCAGCAGCAAAUAUAUAUAAGUUCUUAUCUAGAAUUAGAGAGAAAUAAAAAGUUACAAAAAAUUGAUAAAAAGCUUCCAUAUGUUUCAACAUCCAAAAAUCCAUGUCCUAGAUAGAAGCCCGUGUAAGUAACAGUGUCUGAAGUUUUAGCUUCACAACCUCCAAGGUAAAUUUGUCUCUGAGUAGAUGAAUCAUCAAAAGUCAAUAUGGUGAGUUGAUACCAAUCUUUUUUUUUUAAUUUUUUUUAUUUUUUAUUUUUU
rnacentral:lncRNA from 1 species